rnacentral:misc_RNA from 1 species
AACGCACCUUGCGCCCCCUGGCUAUUCCAAGGGGCAUGCCUGUUUGAGUAUCACGAACACCUCAACUCUCAUGGUUUGCCAUGAUGAGCUUGGACUCUGGGGGUUUUGCUGGCCUGCUGUCGGCUCCUCUGAAAUGAAUCAGCUUACCAGUGUUUGGUGGCAUCAUGGGUGUGAUAACUAUCUACGCUUGUGGUCGUCCGCCAGGUAACCUUCAGUGAUGGAGGUUCACUGGUGCUUAUAAAUGUCUCUCCUCAGCGAAGACAGCUCUUUGAAUGUUUGAUCUCAAAUCAGGUAGGACUACCCGCUGAACUUAA